CAUAACAGUGCGCACUGCGCGAAAGAUAAACACAAAGUGACAGGAGGACAGGGAAAGUACACUAACAGAGACGAAUCAAGACAAAUAUAAACGCGAAAAUGGGGCUUCGAUCGGAUAGGGGGCCCCCCAUACAUACCGUUCCCUUGGGCCCCUAAUUUUCUAAAUCUGCCACUCGAUAGGCGUAUGUUUUGAAGAUCAUCAGUCCGACUCUAUUCGCAUGUACUUCGCAUGACCCCAAUGCAGCGAGCGCCAGAAGAAGGGUUUCUGGUAGCUACGAGGAACGACGCCUGGAACGUUCUCCUCCAGGUACUGGA